UAUAUAUAAUAUAGUAAUCUAUAUAAUCUGUCACCGACAAUGCGUGACUCUGCUUUCCCCUCUUUUUCUCUACCCUUAUUAGCCAAUAAAUCUUUCUCUAGCUCUUCACCAUUCGCUCAAUACUUAAUCAUUUUUCUUUUUUUUUCAAAUUCUCAAUAAAAUUGGUUACAGCUCAGAUGUAAGUAAGAUUCUUCUUAUUAUUAUUUAAGUAAUUUCUUUUAGUUUAUAAUUAACAUUUUUUUUAAAAUAUCGAUUUGAACAACAUUAUAAUGUAUCUUUUACCUGACCUAUAGACAAAUACAUUCUGGUCAAGCAAGCACCAGUGCAGACUACAUUAACGUCUAUAAUAAUGAUUACUCCUUGGACCACGAAGAACUAAGCAGACGACAGUACCAAGAACCUCAAGAAGACAUUGAACAAGUCUAUUUCGAAAUUGAAAAUGAUUCCAGUACCAACAAUUAUAUUGAGCCACUUGCAAGUGAUGUCAAUAGACAAUGUGAUGACCAAAACACUGAAGUAAAAGGUUAUAUUCAAAUUUCGGAUCAUGAUUACGCAGCGAAAAAACUAGAUUCAAACAAAAUCGGAAAGAAUGGAACACUAAAAGCAAAGGGAGACAACCAACAAUUAUCUGAGUCUUACAGUUCCAUACAAAAGUGUCCGGAUGACCCUAGCAGUCUAACUCUGCUCAAAGUGACUGAAAAUGCUUCCGGAAGUACUUAUGACUUACUGGAAAGAAAUGUCGAGAAUCACAUUUACGUGGUCACGUGCCCAGGAGAUAGACAGGAAGAAACUUUAGUCAAAAAUGUCUAGACUAUGAAGUCUUUGUACAACAUUAGCUUGGUUGUUCUCUAAGUCUUGUGUCAGAGUUGAAGGUCGGAUGAUGAGACAGGUCAAAUUAAAAAAAAAAUAAAGAAAAGAUAGAAGUGGAAAUGUUUUUAAGUAAACAAAUUAUUUCUGUUGAAUUAGCCAAAGGAAUCUUAAGAUUGACUUUGGCGAAU